ensembl:lncRNA
UGGUGUGGCCUGCAAAGCCUAAAAUGUUUACUAUCUGCCCUCUGUUGAAGAAGUUUACUGACUCUGGUUCCAGAACAAUAGGGCCAUCAGCUGUAGCAGAGGUCAUUGCUACGCAUCCUCUCAGGCCCUCUCUCUACGUGCUGAAGGCGGUUUGCUGUGAAUACUUGGGUUCUCGGCUUGAAGGCUAUUUUCCUGGUUGUGUGAGGAUGUUUGAUCGCUGCCCGUUGGAAAGUCAGGCAUCAUUACCUCCAUAUGUGUACAAGGAAAGAAAAGCCACACGGAGACUUGAACAUACGCGAGGUCAGAGGGAGAAUAGGGCUGCUGUCAAUUUAAGGUGGGAUGCCACCCCUGCAUGGCUUGAUGAGCAGUGUGUAGGUCUGCGCCGAGGAUUUGACCCCGCAAAACCCAGGCUGCCAAAGCGGAGUGCACAAACUUAACCACUACGCCACUGGGCUGGCCCCUGUUUCAAGGUGUGAAACACUGACUUAAACAGCAUAUCUCCAAGCCCCAAGGAGGCCGGCUGUGCUUGGGUAACCCUGCCCAGAGGAAACCCGGACACGCUGCUGAGGAGGGCUUCUGGAGCCCAAAGGCUCAGCACAGAGCCUGGGAUUCUGCUAAAAGUCUCCUCUCCCUACAUUUCUGUGAAGAAUUUCCUUUUCCCACUAGUUUCAUAUGUAAUGUGGAAUUGCCUGUCAUUCAGAAAAACUUAAAAAAUAGAGCGUGGUGACAUCUGGCACAGAUCACACUUCUUUGUGAUUUGAUGAAAAAUUCAUGGUCUAUUAUAAUGUAAGACUUAUGCAUUGGAACUAUUAUAUCUCUAACAUAGGAUUCUGUGCUUUCAGCCCACAAUGCCGAAAGUACUCAAUUGUCACUUCUUCACAGAUUCAAUGGAAUAAGUAGAGAAAAUACAGCUCAGGGUAAUGAGGGGACGCUGCCACCACAGAUGAUGGUGUCAAUCCCUCUAUAAUCAACAGAUCUUCAUGUCACUUAUUCUAAACGUUAAAGAGGCCAACUAACAAAGAGUUCAUUAACAUUGUGCUCAAGUGAACAAAUACUCUGACCCAUUCACUGAUCUUCAAUGUCAUACCCCUUGUUUCAGUCAUGGUCCCAUCAGGAAAACAGAACUCAUAACAGUUGCUUUAACAGAGUGAAUUUAAUAUAAGGAAUUGGUUAAACUGGUGUUGGAGGAUGAAAAACAGGUAAAGACAACACGGAGGUAUCUCAGAGACAGCAACUGCUGGAAGCAGCCACUACCCCUAGGGCUUGGUGGGAAGAGGUUGGGGUUAUCUGAACCUAGAAGAUGGAAGGAAGGUCCCUGUGGGGCUGCAACCCAGAUCUGUGACUGGGAUUCUGAUCUGAUGUGAUGCUUCUGACAUGGCUGAGCAAGUGCAAUAAGGCUGGUCUGAUGUAGGACAAGAGCAGGAACUGGAACCAACUGCUAGGGCCAGAGGGAAGAGCCAUUGCUGGCGAGACGCUAACAGGAGCCACAAUAACCAAGAGGGAGCUCAGCUUGCUCCCUCCUCCAGGCUUGCUGUGUCCUUCUAGUGUUCCCUCAUGGCAGAGCCUAACAGGGAGCAGCUGGCACAGCAGAAAUGGAGAAGAGUGAGUUUGGGGCUGAGAGACAAUAGCUUAAUAAUUGGCACACUUCCCCUUGUUCUUCUGAGCAGAUAUCUCUGGUGUCCCUUGUUUUCCAUGAAAAGUAGGGGCUGUGAUGGAUGUCUGGAUAUGCUCAGCUCUGAAAGGCAGCCCCUAAUUUGGACGUGUUAAGGAACGAGGCUGGCAUGGCAUUUCCCAGUUCCU